GACGAACGCUGGCGGCGUGCUUAACACAUGCAAGUCGAACGGAAAGGCCCUGCUUUUGUGGGGUGCUCGAGUGGCGAACGGGUGAGUAACACGUGAGUAACCUGCCCUUGACUUUGGGAUAACUUCAGGAAACUGGGGCUAAUACCGGAUAGGAGCUCCUGCUGCAUGGUGGGGGUUGGAAAGUUUCGGCGGUUGGGGAUGGACUCGCGGCUUAUCAGCUUGUUGGUGGGGUAGUGGCUUACCAAGGCUUUGACGGGUAGCCGGCCUGAGGGGGUGACCGGCCACAUUGGGACUGAGAUACGGCCCAGACUCCUACGGGAGGCAGCAGUGGGGAAUAUUGCACAAUGGGCGGAAGCCUGAUGCAGCAACGCCGCGUGCGGGAUGACGGCCUUCGGGUUGUAAACCGCUUUCGCCUGUGACGAAGCGUGAGUGACGGUAAUGGGGAAAGAAGCACCGGCUAACUACGU
rnacentral:rRNA from 1 species